GGUCCGAUGCCACGUCGUUUAUAGCACAAUAGCCAUGAUUUGCGAUGCUAUGAUUGGUACCAACAUCAAAUUUUUAUUAAUAUUUCGCAUUUUGAUAGGAACCCGUUAAUCUUAUUUUCCGAUGAUUAAACGGAGCCGUUUCUUGCGAUUACAGUU
rfam:Beta vulgaris subsp. vulgaris Bvchr4_un.sca034.con0001.1, whole genome shotgun sequence.